rnacentral:tRNA from 1 species
GGGCCCGUAGUUCAACGGGAGAACGCCCGCUUGGCGUGCGGGAGGUUAGGGGUUCGAUUCCCCUCGGGUCCACCA